GAUGAACGCUGGCGGCGUGCCUAAUACAUGCAAGUCGAGCGAACAGACGAGGAGCUUGCUCCUCUGACGUUAGCGGCGGACGGGUGAGUAACACGUGGAUAACCUACCUAUAAGACUGGGAUAACUUCGGGAAACCGGAGCUAAUACCGGAUAAUAUAUUUAACCGCAUGGUUCAAUAUUGAAAGACGGUUUUGCUGUCACUUAUAGAUUGAUCCGCGCCGCAUUAGCUAGUUGGUAAGGUAACGGCUUACCAAGGCAACGAUGCGUAGCCGACCUGAGAGGGUGAUCGGCCACACUGGAACUGAGACACGGUCCAGACUCCUACGGGAGGCAGCAGUAGGGAAUCUUCCGAAAUGGGCGAAAGCCUGACGGAGCAACGCCGCGUGAGUGAUGAAGGUCUUCGGAUCGUAAAACUCUGUUAUUAGGGAAGAACAAAUGUGUAAGUAACUAUGCACGUCUUGACGGUACCUAAUCAGAAAGCCACGGCUAACUACGUG
rnacentral:rRNA from 1 species